UACGUAGGGCGCAAGCGUUAUCCGGAAUUAUUGGGCGUAAAGAGCUCGUAGGCGGUUCGGCAAGUCAGCUGUGAAAUCUCCACGCUCAACGUGGAGGGGUCAGCUGAUACUGCUGUGACUUGAGUCCGGUAGGGGAGUGUGGAAUUCCCGGUGUAGCGGUGAAAUGCGCAGAUAUCGGGAGGAACACCAGUAGCGAAGGCGGCUCUCUGGGCCGGUACUGACGCUGAGGAGCGAAAGCGUGGGGAGCAAACAGG
rnacentral:rRNA from 1 species